rnacentral:rRNA from 1 species
AACGAACGCUGGCGGCAUGCCUAACACAUGCAAGUCGAACGAGAUCUUCGGGUCUAGUGGCGCACGGGUGCGUAACGCGUGGGAAUCUGCCCUUUGGUUCGGAAUAACAGUUGGAAACGACUGCUAAUACCGGAUGAUUACGAAAGUCCAAAGAUUUAUCGCCAGGGGAUGAGCCCGGGUAGGAUUAGCAAGUUGGGGUGGUAAAGGCGCACCAAGGCGACGAUCAUUGGCUGGUCUGAGAGGAUGAUCAGCCACACUGGGACGGAGACACGGCCCAGACUCCUACGGGAGGCAGCAGUGGGGAAUAUUGGACAAUGGGCGAAAGCCUGAUCCAGCAAUGCCGCGUGAGUGAUGAAGGCCUUAGGGUUGUAAAGCUCUUUUACCCGGGAUGAUAAUGGCAGUACCGGGAGAAUAAGCUCCGGCUAACUCCGUGCCAGCCGCCGCCGUAA